rnacentral:misc_RNA from 1 species
GAUCAUUAAAGAAAUUUAAUAAUUUUGAAAAUGGAUUUUUUUGUUUUGGCAAGAGCAUGAGAGCUUUUACUGGGCAAGAAGACAAGAGAUGGAGAGUCCAGCCGGGCCUGCGCUUAAGUGCGCGGUCUUGCUAGGCUUGUAAGUUUCUUUCUUGCUAUUCCAAACGGUGAGAGAUUUCUGUGCUUUUGUUAUAGGACAAUUAAAACCGUUUCAAUACAACACACUGUGGAGUUUUCAUAUCUUUGCAACUUUUUCUUUGGGCAUUCGAGCAAUCGGGGCCCAGAGGUAACAAACACAAACAAUUUUAUCUAUUCAUUAAAUUUUUGUCAAAAACAAGAAUUUUCGUAACUGGAAAUUUUAAAAUAUUAAAAACUUUCAACAACGGAUCUCUUGGUUCUCGCAUCGAUGAAGAACGCAGCGAAAUGCGAUACGUAAUGUGAAUUGCAGAAUUCCGUGAAUCAUCGAAUCUUUGAACGCACAUUGCGCCCCUUGGUAUUCCAGGGGGCAUGCCUGUUUGAGCGUCAUUUCCUUCUCAAACAUUCUGUUUGGUAGUGAGUGAUACUCUUUGGAGUUAACUUGAAAUUGCUGGCCUUUUCAUUGGAUGUUUUUUUUCCAAAGAGAGGUUUCUCUGCGUGCUUGAGGUAUAAUGCAAGUACGGUCGUUUUAGGUUUUACCAACUGCGGCUAAUCUU